GGCUCAGUUGGUAGAGCAUUGGUGUUUGCAACGCCAGGGUUGUGGGUUCGAUUCCCAC
rnacentral:tRNA from 1 species